GUCGCUUUAGCUCACUUGGGAGAGCGCCAGACUGAAGUCAACGUCUUCUCGGUCAUUACAUCUGGAGGUACUGUGUUCGAUCCACAGAAGCGACA